rnacentral:rRNA from 1 species
UACAGGGGGUGCAAACGUUGCUCGGAAUCAUUGGGCGUAAAGCGCACGUAGGCGGUUCGUUAUGUCGGAUGUGAAAGCCCUUGGCUUAACCGAGGAAGUGCAUCCGAAACUGGCGAGCUAGAGUACUAAAGAGGAUCGCGGAAUUCCCGGUGUAGAGGUGAAAUUCGUAGAUAUCGGGAGGAACACCGGUGGCGAAGGCGGCGAUCUGGGUAGAUGCUGACGCUGAGGUGCGAAAGCGUGGGGAGCAAACAGG